UGUAUAUAUAUGUGUGUGUGUGUGUGUGUGUGUAUAUAUAUACACACACACACACACAGUAUAUGAAUG